UAGGGAAUCUUCCACAAUGGACGCAAGUCUGAUGGAGCAACGCCGCGUGAGUGAAGAAGGUUUUCGGACCGUAAAGCUCUGUUGUUGGUGAAGAAGGAUAGAGGUAGUAACUGGCCUUUAUUUGACGGUAAUCAACCAGAAAGUCACGGCUAACUACGUGCCAGCAGCCGCGGUAAUACGUAGGUGGCAAGCGUUGUCCGGAUUUAUUGGGCGUAAAGCGAGCGCAGGCGGAAAGAAUAAAGUCUGAUG
rnacentral:rRNA from 1 species